rnacentral:rRNA from 1 species
GUUAGGAAUAUUGGACAAUGGGCGCAAGCCUGAUCCAGCCAUGCCGCGUGAGUGAUGAAGGCCUUCGGGUUGUAAAGCUCUUUAGUCCACGAAUAUAAUGACUGUAGUGGAAGAAUAAGCCCCGGCUAACUUCGUGCCAGCAGCCGCGGUAAUACGAAGGGGGCGAGCGUUAUUCGGAAUCACUGGGCGUAAAGCGUGCGUAGGCUGUUUUGUAAGUCAGAAGUGAAAGCCCAGGGCUUAACCCUGGAAUUGCAUUUGAAACUACAAGACUCGAAUUCGGGAGAGGAUAGAGUAAUUGUCAGUGUAGCAGUGAAAUGCGUAGAUAUUGACAGGAACACCAGUGGCGCAAGCGGCUAUCUGGACCGAUAUUGACGCUGAGGCACGAAAGCGUGGGGAGCAAACAGGAUUAGAUACCCUAGUAGUCC